CGCGGCGUUCAUCUCCCAGUCUCUUUCUAACUGUGUCCCAACUGCUUAAAAGCUACAGGACAAGGAUUAGGUCCCGGCACUUAUGGAUCAUUGAUGCAAAAGCCAAAUCAAGAAAAUGCAGUUAAAACUUAGGGUGAAGUCCGGAAUUUGGAGUCCGCUGAGAAGUUUAUAAUAGCUCCGUACCGAUUGCGGCUACAUGUCUGCAUAUAGUUGGAUGAUCCUUUUCCCCGCUGGCUCCCUUACUGUUCUCUCAUAACAGUUUCUGCCCAGAAGAGCAACCGUGUCGAUUCAAACCUGUCUCUCUAAACUUGCACUCCGUUCAUUUCAAAGACUGUCGUUACCUACACCUGGCCCUUGCAGGUAAAGAAGCCGAUCAAGCAUUUUGAAACAUCAUGCCUCGGCUUUGGCAAAUUGUAUUGAAAAUAAUUCUAACAACCCCAGCUUUGGCACUUAGAAAAGCGUCGAGACGAUUUCAGCGGAUGAUUAUCCAAUAUGAGAUGGAAGGCCUGGCUCCCGAGUAUGUGCUGCCAGAAAAGCUUUACAAGUUCUAUUCAUGAAAUAUAAGUCAAUAGAAAUCCUAAUCUUACAUAUAAAAAGAGGGAGUUUAGUUUAGCGAUAAUGGUUUUGGUCCCCUAUGGACAAUUUUAUGAAUUCAAUUGUGUAUGCUAUUGGUCAAGGUUAGUUUCAACUCUGAUAAUGUGAGACAUAAUAUGGUCCAAAUAUUUUUUGUGACUAUGUUUACCUUAUAAGUCAAUUAUACCUUUUGUUUCUACUACACUCUGUACUGAUUGGGAUGAUAUUGAGUGGGUGGACAA